UAAUAAAAAAGAUCGGAUAAAAUUUAUUCGUCUUUUGAAAACAACAAAACAAUCUGUUUCAGCAACAUUAGAUAAUUCUGAAUCUAGCUAUACUGCAGUUGUAUCAAGUGUUAUCAGUGUAAAUAAUGAAAAGGGCUAAACAACAAACAGUGGCAGUUUUCCAGAAAUUGAAGAAGCUGAAUGUGUACAUAGCCAGGUGCAAGAAUUUCCUUUUGUAUAUCAGUUGCCACUUUUUCCGGAUAAUGUUGUAGCUAAGCUACAAUGUCAAGACAAGGCUAGUUUUGGAUUAGGCUCAAAAAGCAAAGCGCUCUUAAUUGAUGCACUAUUUGAUGACUUAAAAAGGCGUGACAUUUUGUAUCCAACCAGAAGAAUAUAUUCUGCUGUUAGCUCAGCAGUUAUAUUAAAAUAUCCUUUUUUGGCUGAUUAUGAUGGAAGUAGUGUAAUGCAAUUACCAUUUUAUAUAUUAUUGAUUAUAUUUAUAUUUGUCAUCAUUUGUUAAAUAUGAAAAUUGUAUUGUAAAAUUUAAUAUAUAUGUCUAUUUCACAUUUUAAAUAAGUAAUUUGAGUUUAGAAUACGAUUAGAGUAGCUCUUCGAAGGAAAUUUAAAAAAAAACAGACAACCCCUUUGUAGCGAAAAUCCAAUUGCUGUAACAAGAGAAAAAUUUGGAAGACCUGGUGUUUCGGGAAGAAAACGAAAAGUAGAUCAAGUUGAAAUUAAUUAUCCUGACAACAGUACCCUCUCAAAAACAGCUUGAGUUAAGUUGGCUAAUGUGGUACAAGGUGAUGAUGACAUAAGCAUAAAAAAACAUCAAGAUGCUUUAAAAAAAGAAAUAAAAAAACAGACACCAAGCUUUGAUAUAAUCAAAGAUAAAAUGAAAAAAACUUGUGAGUACAGACAACUUUUCUGCCAUGCCCACACAAUUGCAGAAGUUCUGGAAGAAUUUCCGUGUUUACGACUAAAUAUUUUUUUUACAGCAGAUGUGCUUUUGCUGUAUGGUGUAGAUGUAACCAAUUUAAAAAUGAAAAUCCUAACCCUUUAUGAUGCUGUGAUCAAAGAAGCAGCCAAAAGAUGCAAAAAAUAUUGUGAAUAUUCAAGAAUGAUAAACAAAUAUUUAAAGAAACUUUGGACAAUGAUAAACAACAGGAUUGGAAGGUGAUGUUUGUUACAUUGCUGUUACCCUCAUUAUUUGGGGAGAAAGAAGAGUUGUUUUUUCCCUUACCAAAGCAUCAAAUACCACUUAGUCUAGUCAUAUUGUCACAAGACGGCGAGUGGAAUAUAUCAGUCGACAAGGAAGUUUUGUUUCCUAAAACUAUUUGCACUUUAUCCGCGGCUUUUCAAGCAUGGUUUGCAGCAUUUUGGAUAUUCAGCAUUGAAUUUCCAAAAGGAUUGUCCAAUACAUGUCAAUUUUCAGAAAAAGUGCUUCUUGGUGGGAAAGAAAAAGUGCCAAAUCUUGUCAGCAAAUGGGGCAACCGUCUUUUGCACUAAAAUUUAUGACUUUAGUUUUUUGUCUGUUUUUGUUGUAAAUCUUUAUAAUUUAUUUAUGUUUUUUUGUCACUAAAUUCGAAAAAAACUUCUGAAUAUACGCAAUAUUUCUAAAUUUUAUUAUAUUUUAUUGUGCUACUAGGCGAUUUCUCAAUUUAAUUUUUGAAAAUAGGUCUUAACGUUCAAUAAACUUCAAUAUCACUUAUAACG